UACUCUGAUGUCAUGUAAAUGUAGCAGCGAUAACCUGAUAAGAUGAAGGUGGCUGCAGUUGCUCUCCACUGACUGCAAGACCUCAGGGAAUGGUGGGAAACACCUGGCUGUCACAUGAUCUAAGAGCGAAUUGGCUCAGCUGUUGGAUCAACAACAUGAUGUUUUAUAGAAACUGUUUGUCUUCUGUUUAGUUGGAGAGAUUUUUAUUUUAUUAGUCUGUCCAUGUCAAAAUACACAAAGUAUCAUAAAUGCAAAAGAUAAGCUAAAAACCGCUAAGUGAGGAAGGUUUGUGAUUCACAAGUCAAACAACCCAAACUCAUUAGAAAUUGACAAAAUACCAUAAAUAAUUGCAAAGACAGCCAUGAACUAAAAACAAAAAGUCCCUUAAAAUGCCAAAGGUUUACCAUUCAAGAGUCAAAAAGCCUCGGGGAAUACUCUUCUUUUAAAGCAUUCAGGUUAAAACAGAGCUGUCUGAACUUCCUCCCAGAGGGCAUUUCCUCAAAGAGGGGAGCUGCUGGGUGAGAAUCAUCUCUCUCGAUGUUCAGAGCCUUUUGGUGGAACUUUAUAAAUUGCAGUAGUCAGACUACUGAAACCACACGGUGAUAGAGAAAGUUAGCACACUUUCUACAACAGAUGUGUAAAACUGAACUACAGCUUUCAAUGAAACACCAAAUUUGCAAUAUGCUUCCUCAAAAAAAUAUAUUCUCUAACUAGCCAAGAAAUAUAAACUCCUUCACACUAUCGACUGGUUUUCCAACAAUUUUAAGAUGCAGUUUCUCAUCCUCACAUCUCCUGAAAUCUAUGAUCAUCUCUUUAGCCAUCGGCAUGGCAACAGAAAACUAACAUUGAUCUCCUGUGCUAAAGUCCAGUGUUUUGUUGACCCAUCCAUUCACGCUGACCUCCUCCCACAAUAACAUCACCUGAUUUCCUCCUUUGCUCCAAAGUAAACUACAGCUUUGUGACUUGUGGGGCACUUACUGAAACAACUGACCUGUUGUUUUUCUUGAGAGGACAGUUAUCAGACACAUCAUGUACGACAAACAAAGCCUAACUAUUUUAACAGUGUCGUACACAGAAUUCUGUAUGUGCUGGCAGCUUGACUGCGCAUCCAGGAGUCAAUUUAAUAGCAGCACCACUGACUAUCUUCAAGAGGGACAUAUAGUACACAAACUGAAUCUGCACACUUACGGCGUACUGCUGUACUCCUUAUCAAGACCCAAUAGAUGUGAGGAUUUCAAGCCAGGACUUAAGAGACAAAAGGGUCAUGAUGUGAAGCAGUUCUAUGUUUUUUUUUUGCAGACCACAACAAAGAUGAAAGCAGAUGAGAUGAGAGACCAGCUUAAUGCGAAAAGAUCAUCUGAACCCUUUAACCUUUUCUAUUGAUUCCUGAGCAACAUGACGCCCAUUGACUAUCAACACUCUGAUAAACAAACACAGUUUGACACCCUGGAACUGAAGUACAGAGGAAUCUUCUUACAUAGAGUUUACGUAUAAAUUACUGCUGUUAUUGUGUAAUCUCAUCUGCAUGGGGUUGACGUGUAACAACCUUUGCAAAUUUGCUAGUUAUUUAGAUGUCAUCCAUCUGCAGUAGCCAGUCAGGAAACAUUAUUGAAAAUGUUUGCAUUUCUUCAAAUAAAUGCCUUUCUUUACUUAAAACAUCCAUGAUAUUUAAAUUCUGCCCUCUUUCACCAUUGAUUGAUACUCUCCAGAUCAUGGUUUAAGUUGAAAUGAGUACUUCAUUAAGGUUAGAGGACCUUUGUCGUCAUGGUUACAAUAAUAAACACAUGGUGCAUCCUG